AUGAAGAACGUAGCGAAAUGCGAUAAGUAAUGUGAAUUGCAGAAUUCAGUGAAUCAUCGAAUCUUUGAACGCACAUUGCGCCCGCCAGUAUUCUGGCGGGCAUGCCUGUUCGAGCGUCAUUACAACCCUCAGGCCCCCGGGCCUGGCGUUGGGGAUCGGCGGAAGCCCCCUGUGGGCACACGCCGUCCCUCAAAUACAGUGGCGGUCCCGCCGCAGCUUCCAUUGCGUAGUAGCUAACACCUCGCAACUGGAGAGCGGCGCGGCCAUGCCGUAAAACACCCAACUUCUGAAUGUUGACCUCGAAUCAGGUAGGAAUACCCGCUGAACUUAAGCAUAUCAAUAAGCGGAGGA
rnacentral:misc_RNA from 1 species